rnacentral:rRNA from 1 species
GACGAACGCUGGCGGCGUGCUUAACACAUGCAAGUCGAACGGAAAGUCCCUUCUUUUGUGGGGUGCUCGAGUGUCGAACGUGUGAGUAACACGUGAGUAACCUGCCCUUGACUUUGGGCUACCUUCAGUAAACUGUGGCUAAUACCGGAUAGGAGCUCCUGCUGCCUGGUGGGGGUUGGAAAGUUUCUGCGGUUGGGGUUGGACUCUCGGCUUAUGAGCUUGUUGGUGGGGUCGUGACUUACCAAGGCUUUGACGGGUAGCCGGCCGGAGCGGGGGACCGGCAACAUUGGGAGUGAGGAAAGGCCGAGAAUCCUACGGGAGGAAGCAGUGGGGAGUAUUGCACAGUGGGCGGAAGACGGAUGAAGCAACGCCGCGGGGGGGAGGAAGGAGUCCGGGGUGUAAACAGCUUUCGCCUGUGAAGAAGAAUGAGUGACGGUAAUGGGUAAAGAAGCACCGGCUAACUACGUG